GAAAGGUAGCAGCGGCAGCGGCCUUGCUUGGUGCACAGUU
rnacentral:SRP_RNA from 9 species